rnacentral:rRNA from 1 species
UACGGAGGAUGCAAGCGUUAUCCGGAAUGAUUGGGCGUAAAGCGUCCGCAGGUGGCUAUGUAAGUCUGCUGUUAAAGAGUGAGGCUCAACCUCAUAAGAGCAGUGGAAACUACAUGGCUAGAGUGCGUUCGGGGCAGAGGGAAUUCCUGGUGUAGCGGUGAAAUGCGUAGAGAUCAGGAAGAACACCGGUGGCGAAAGCGGCGAUCUGGGCAGAUACUGACGCUGAGGUGCGAAAGCGUGGGGAGCAAACAGG